ensembl:lincRNA 6430584L05Rik RIKEN cDNA 6430584L05 gene
AUGUGUAGCUCUGGUCUCUUGCUGGACAGAUGGCCUUCACAGAGGGCCCUCCCAGACAUCCAGUGGCCUUGGAUAUCAUGAUGUGAGGGAGCAAUCAGGAUGAGGAAGACAAGCUGUACGAGACUACUGGCUACAGGGCUGAGUAAUGCAACGUCAGAUGGAUAAAGUGUGAACGAUGACACACAGCUACCUCAGGUACUGGGAGAAAGCUUGAAGCGUGCAGAUUUGUUAAGCACCCAGUCCCUCCUGAACAGUACAGUGAUGACUCCUGUCAGCUUGAGAAAACUUGGACUAGUUCUAGAAGACUUGGUUAAGAGGAGGACUUGGCGUCAUAAGCCUCAUAAUGAGACAUGAGUUUGCUGAAGCUCCUUUCUCCUGAAUACUUAGGGAUCCUUGAGGGUCCGUUCCUUUCAGGCCCUGUUGCCUGGCACACCCAGACUACAGCACAGCAUGUCUCUGGAAAGACCUGCCUCUCCACGUCUCCGCCUGUUGCUGACCCAGGACCCUCAGAGCAAAGGGAGAAGAAAGACUCUCAGGGUUCAAGUAGCCAUGGAACCCUCUCAACUACGGUCCUGAAGACACCAGGGUGCUUUCCAAGACUCUCUCCUGAAUUUGUCUCUACUGAUGCUUAUCUCAGAUUAUAGGACCAAGCUUCUUAGCCUACAGGCGAAUCGCCCUCCUAGACUUUACAUUUUCAGAACCAGGAACAGCAGGGCAUGUGACGGCUGGAAAUAUUGGUCCAGAUAGUUUAUUCAUAGGUGUAUCAGGGCCGGAAUCAUCACAGCUCUCGGAUCCUUUCAGUUCAGACAAGGAAACGAGGCCCUGAGGCCGGGUCUAGAAGGUAUGCUCACUCAGGGUCCUGCACGACAUCCCAAGGAUCUUAAAAUUUCAGAUUCUGAUCUAAGAUCAGCAUUUCUGUUACUGCAGUGGAACACAGAUGGAGGCCUCACAAGAACAAUGGUCAGAACCACAGAAAUCUAACUCCAUCUCCACCCUCUAUCAGCUGGGCGACCUCUCACAUGUUACCUAACCUCUCUGGCCAUCAGUUUCUUAAUCUAUAGGAUGAGGAUUACAGUGGGACCUGUCUCCUGAGGUGCCCUGAGACACUAUAGAGAUAGCCUUUCCAAAGCACAGCACAGCAUCUGGCAAGAGACACAUGAUAAUUAAUUACCUCACACUUCCCCUCAAACCAGUGCAAACCAUAAUGAGCUCUAGCGAUUCCAGCAAUCACCAAGCAAGCAUUUAAUUUAUUGACUUGGAAAAUGGAAGGGCUCUGUAUCAAGGGACCAUUUGGAUGAAGUUUUCAGAAAGAAGGAAUGCACAGAUGUCUUUUUUUUCUCCUCCAUAGAAAUUUCCUAGCACCAGGAAGACGGUGCAGACUCACUCUGUCCCUCUUCAAACAGCCAACAGGAAGCAGGGGGGCGGGCACAGAGUCAGACCACUGCUGGCUUCCCCUGGGGGCUUGCAAAAGUCAGGGAUGCCUUGACUCGUGCAUGCUUUUCUUGUUUUUUUCCCUAAUGACUUCUGCUGCAUGGGGAGCAGGGAGGGGGGAGCAUCUCAGGACGCUGUUGGCAGAGUGCUAAGCAAAGAUGUGAGCUCUCCCCAGUGAUGGGAAUAGAGGAACCUCACUUGCCCAGCACAAAACGCUAAGGGAACACCGCAAGCUCAGAACAGUAGCUCCCUUUGAUCGUGCAUCGUCCUACGGUUCAAAAUAAACUUAUGGAUUAGGCAUAAUAGCAUAGUAAGAGAGAGACGAGCAAACUAUUAAUAAAGAACAGCCAUAGCAUAACUGCAAUAAAAGGUGCAAGGCCAUAGUCUGUCAGAGUAUCUUAAUGUACUGAGCCCACAUAGUCUGGGAUGCUGUGGGUGACCUGAUGUCCGGGUGCUAUGAUGAAAAGACAGGGGUGGUGCUGGAGAGCCUGCUAGGCUAUGAGGAGAGAGGGUUCUGGAAGGCAAACCAUUCGAUGCUACGAGAAUGGAGCUGAGAGCCAGUACGGCUGUUGAGUGGCCAGUAGGUCAGUGGGAGUAGACUCACACUAGACCAAGGGAUAAUUCCUGCUUCCUCCUGGUGGGUGUGUACUGAGUUGGACGGUAUGAAUGUCAUCACAUUCCCCAGAUUAGUUCUGGAAUUUUCCACUUAGUAUUUUAGGCUGUGGCUGAGCAGAAGCAACUGAAAUCAAAGAAAGCUCAAGGGAGGGCUAUUGUAAUAUUUUAUUAACAUGAUGUAUUAAAAGAUUAAAAAUUAGUUUUAAAAAAUCCAUGAAAACCAAAGCAUCAAACUUUUAAGCAGACGCCAAGCUGUGACCCCUGAAAGCAACUGCUUUUCUGCCUAAUGUACCUGAUCUUGAGGAUUAACUCUUCUGGGACCAGUGUUGUCUGUGGCUCUUAGAAUUCGGACUUCUGAAAGCUCCAUAGUAGCUCAGCAAUGAGAGGCUGGAAUGCAUCAACCUUCUCUGGAAUGAAGUUACCUGCAAGGUAGCUGCCAAGGGGCCCCAACAUUUUGCUUUCCUGCAUCUAUAUGAGGCUCUUACUGAGGUUCACUUUGUACAGAAACGUAAAGAACUAUGGACUGAUGCCAUGUAUGAACCCAUGCUGUCAUGGAGGACACCGUAAGUUAGUGUUUCCCACUCCAGAUAUCGGGAGUCCUCUCUGCUGGUUUACCUCCUCUGCGACUUCCAGGCCCAGCCUAGUCUGCCCAGUUAUCUUCACAAUCAUCCAGUCCCAGGGGUCUUUCCCUCAAGCACACAUUUGAGACUUGACUGUGCUGAGCUGCGGUGUAGCCACGCAGUCUUGAAUUUUAAACUAGCAUCAGCAUACAUUCAAAGUUGAAUCGUAUUGAAAGGCUCAGAGUGAAGUGGAGGAGAUUACACACAGGUCUACUUUCUCCAUGCCCAGUCUCACCUCUAGGGUGCAGUCACCCAUAAUUCUUUUGGCCAUUUCCUCCCUUAUUUAGCUCCACUGUAUUUAAUAGGUGUAUACAUGGUCUCAUUCAUUCAUUCACUCACUCACUCAUCCAUUCGUUUAUUCUUUAAUUCAUUUACCUUUUUACAGCAAAUAUGGCUUAACUUCCUCAUGUCCUUUCUGCUCCCUUUCCCUCUCUCUUCUCAACCAGCUGUUUUGUUGUUGAAUAAAAGCAACCAUUUUUAAAAAGC